rnacentral:rRNA from 1 species
AUGGCUCAGAUUGAACGCUGGCGGCAGGCCUAACACAUGCAAGUCGAGCGGUAGCACAAGAGAGCUUGCUCUCUGGGUGACGAGCGGCGGACGGGUGAGUAAUGUCUGGGAAACUGCCUGAUGGCGGGGGAUAACUAGUGGAAACGGUAGCUAAUACCGCAUAACGUCGCAAGACCAAAGUGGGGGACCUUCGGGCCUCACGCCAUCAGAUGUGCCCAGGUGGGAUUAGCUGGUAGGUGGGGUAACGGCUCACCUAGGCGACGAUCCCUAGCUGGUCUGAGAGGAUGACCAGCCACACUGGAACUGAGACACGGUCCAGACUCCUACGGGAGGCAGCAGUGGGGAAUAUUGCACAAUGGGCGCAAGCCUGAUGCAGCCAUGCCGCGUGUGUGAAGAAGGCCUUCGGGUUGUAAAGCACUUUCAGCGAGGAGGAAGGGUAAUGUGUUAA